ACAGCCUCUCCCCCGUCCGCAGCGCAGCCACUUGGCCCCACCAAAGCUUCCUGCAAAGGCUCCGAGGGCCGCGGGGCGCGCGUGGCCAGCGGCGGCGUCGCCUCGUGAUGACAUCAUCGCUAUGACGCGGCUCAGUGACGUGAACGCGGGCGCUCUUCUUUGGGAGCGCGGCCGGCGCGCCCGUUUUGAAGCUGUCCUGAGCAGCGCGGGCCGGACCGCGCCCCCUGCUUGGUCCCCGCGCCCCGCGAGUCCGCGCAGUUCCCAAGGCGCGGGCCCUGCUCCCUGCGCCUCGCCCCCUCAGCGGGCCGUGCUCGCAUCACCGAGGUCGGUCCGCGCCGGACCGAAGCCCCCGGGGCGGGGCGGGGCGGGGCGCGGGCGUCCGGAGGCGCCCCGGGCUCAGCCCCCGCCAUGCCUCCCGGCAAGGUACUGCAGCCGGUCCUGAAGAUGAAGGUGGAUGAGCUGUUCCUGUACUGGCUCAGCGAGGCCAGCACGCAGCGGAUGCUGCAGGACUGCCUGCGCCGGAUCAAGGCGCCCGGGCGGGACCAGCCGACCGCGGGGGACGGGGAGCUGCCCGGGGCCUGGCCAGCAGCCACGCUCGCCGCCCCCAGGCCCAGCGGGCUCGAACCCCCGGGAACCCCCGGUCCGGGCCCUGCGCUGCCCCUGGGCGCCGCCUCCAGCCCCAGGAACGCGCCCCACGCUCGAGGCACCCGUAGAUCCGCAGGGACGAGAGUAGUUCAGACGCGGAAAGAAGAGCCUCUGCCCCCAGCCACGAGCCAAAGCAUUCCGACCUUCUACUUCCCCAGAGGACGCCCGCAGGACUCCGUCAAUGUGGAUGCCGUCAUCAGCAAGAUCGAGAGCACCUUCACCCAGUUCCCCCACGAGAGGGCCACCAUGGACGACAUGGGCCUGGUGGCCAAGGCCUGCGGCUGCCCCCUCUACUGGAAGGGGCCGCUCUUCUAUGGCGCCGGCGGGGAGCGCACGGGCUCCGUGUCCGUCCACAAGUUCGUCGCCAUGUGGAGAAAAAUCCUCCAGAACUGCCACGACGACGCGGCCAAGUUCCUCCAUCUGCUCAUGAGCCCCGGCUGCAACUACCUGGUGCAGGAGGACUUUGUCCCCUUCUUGCAGGACGUGGUGAACACGCACCCGGGGCUGUCGUUCCUGAAGGAGGCGUCCGAGUUCCACUCGCGCUACAUCACCACGGUCAUCCAGCGGAUCUUCUACGCCGUGAACCGGUCCUGGUCCGGCAGGAUCACCUGCGCCGAGCUGCGGAGGAGCUCCUUCCUGCAGAACGUGGCGCUGCUGGAGGAGGAGGCCGACAUCAACCAGCUGACCGAAUUCUUCUCCUACGAGCACUUCUACGUCAUCUACUGCAAGUUCUGGGAGCUGGACACGGACCACGACCUGCUCAUCGACGCGGACGACCUGGCGCGGCACAAUGACCACGCCAUUUCUACCAAGAUGAUCGACAGGAUCUUCUCGGGAGCAGUCACACGAGGCAGAAAAGUGCAGAAGGAAGGGAGGAUCAGCUACGCCGACUUUGUCUGGUUUUUGAUCUCUGAGGAAGACAAAAAAACACCAACCAGCAUCGAGUACUGGUUCCGCUGCAUGGACCUAGAUGGGGACGGCGCCCUGUCCAUGUUCGAGCUUGAGUACUUCUAUGAGGAGCAGUGCCGAAGGCUGGACAGCAUGGCCAUCGAGGCCCUGCCCUUCCAGGACUGCCUCUGCCAGAUGCUGGACCUGGUCAAACCGAGGACCGAAGGGAAGAUCACGCUGCGGGACCUGAAGCGCUGCAAGCUGGCCAACGUCUUCUUCGACACCUUCUUCAACAUCGAGAAGUACCUCGACCACGAGCAGAAAGAGCAGAUCUCCCCGCUCAGGGACGGUGACAGCAGCGGUCCCGAGCUCUCGGACUGGGAGAAGUACGCGGCCGAGGAGUACGACAUCCUGGUGGCUGAGGAGACUGCGGGAGAGCCCUGGGAGGACGGCCUCCCUGCGGCACCGCCUGUUUACCGCAGCUCGGUGGCGGGACCCGGGAGCCCCCCGCCCAUGGCCCCCUGCGUGGGGUUUUGUGAUCCUGGGCCCGAGGCUUCGCACAUCAGGCCAAGCAUGGGGAGGCCGAGUCAAGACGCAUUUCGCCAGCAACGUCUGUCCUUAGCCCACGGCUGCCACCUGCUGGGGAGGCUGCAGGGCCCGUGGCCAUUCCGGGGCCCACUUCGGCCUUCCAGCCUCGGAGGCCCCAAGAGGCAAUGGGCUGGUUGCUUUCUCACAGAGUGUGAGGGUUCUUCGGGUCUUCAGGAUACAGGCCCUUUAUUUGCGACGUGUUCGCCUUUUCCCAGUUUGUGACGUAUGUUUUCACCCUCUUCACGUCGUGUCUCAGAGAUGUUCUGAAUUUAGAGGAAGAGACGCUGACUGGUUAUUUUUACAGCUGUGUUUUUGGUGUCGUGUCUAAGAAUUCAUUCCUGAAUCCAAAGCCACAAAGAUUUUCCUCUGCGAUGUUUUGCAUUUUGGUCUGGGGUCUGCUUGAGUAACCUUCCUGUGAGGUGUGAAGCUCGGAUUCAGGUUCACCUUGUAGGUGGGUGUGUCCGACUGUCCCAGCACCAGCUUUGCAAGGCUGCAGCGUCGCCUCGGCAUCGUGAUUGUGCCGUGUGCGGGCUCCGUUCCUGAACCUUCCUCCGUUCCACGGCUGCACGCGUCCGUCCCUUCCCGCUGCAGAGCUGACCGCAGUGAGAAGCCUCCGACUUGGGUGCCGUGUGGAACUGUUGGGGCCAUUCUGGUGUUUGGCUGCCUGUGUGAAUCUUAGACUCAGCCCGUCCGUGCUCUGCCGUCCUGUGGGAACGUGUGUUGGACUGUGACGUCGUGGUGAGCGCUGGUCCCGUGACCACGUAGACUCUGGCCCUCACCAGCCUCCCGUGGUGGGCGCUGGAGCGAUGUGGUCACUUUUGCCUCUUGUGCUGGGCUUCUCGAUGCUCUUCUGUCCCGCGCUACGGCGGCUAUUCUGGUUUCUUUGCCUUUGUAUGAAAACACGUAAGAAUAAGCUCCUUCUGGCCGGGCGCGGUGGCUCACGCCUGUAAUCCCAGCACUUUGGGAGGCCGAGGGGGGUGGAUCACGAGGUCAGGAGCUCGAGACCAUCCUGGCUAACACGGUGAAACCCCGUCUCUACUAAAAAUACAAAAAAUUAGCCGGGCGUGGUGGCGGCGCCUGUAGUCCCAGCUACUCGGGAGGCUGAGGCAGGAGAAUGGCGUGAACCCGGGAGGCGGAGCUUACAGUGAGCCGAGAUUGCACCACUGCACUCCAGCCUGGGCGACAGAGCAAGACUCCGUCUCAAAAAAAAAAAAAAAAAAAGGCCCGGGAUGGUGGCUCAUGCCUGUGAUCCCAGCUACUCGGGAGGUGGAGGUUGCAGUGAGCCAAGAUCGUGCCACUGCACUCCAGCCUGGGCAACGAGGGAAACUCCAUCUCAAAAAAAAAAAAAAAACAGAAUCUGAACUUCUGACAUCAUCUCGCUGAGCGAAUGGAUCCCUGUGGGCCCAGCUGCCGUCUUCAUAGCCGCGGGAGGCCCAGUCCACAGGCGCCAUCCGUGUUUCUCGGCAGGAUUUUCGUAGCUUUCUGUGUAGACUUGAUGUGAAUGUUGUGGGACUUGUAUUCGAGUGUUUCUGAGGUUUUGCUGUGGUCAACGCUACUUUUAAGGUGCCCGUUUCCAGUUGUUCGUUGGUAGCAUAUAGAAUUUAUUGACCUUGUGUUUUGCAACUUUAUGAAACACACUUACUAGAUCUCAAAGCUCUCUGUCGGUUCUUUGGGGUUUUCUGCGUGGACAGCCCAUGCCUGUCAGUGGGUUUGUUUCUCGUCUUCCUUUUCACCCCUGUGUGUACAUUACUUUCUUUUCACCCCUGUGUACGUCACUUUGUUUCUCUUGCCCGAUGCACGGCCUGGAACCCGCAGGGUGAUGUGGACGUCAGGGCAGACCACGCCCAGCCUUGAGUGAGCCUUGAGUGAGGUUUGUGUGCCGCCCUCGUUCCCAGUCCUGGGGGACGUCUCCCCUCAUGCAGCGGUAAACACGCUCAUUGGCGAGGAUGUUCCGGCCUGUGCCUGGUCUGCGGAGGGUUUCCCACAGUGGGGGCUGCAUUUUCUCAGAUGCUGUUGCUCCGUGGUUCCUGUGUCUGCCCAUACAGCGAGUUACAGCGAGUCAUUUUCAGCCAGCCUUGUGUUCCCAGGAUAGAUCUGAGUUGUAUGUUAUCCUUACAUAUUAUUGGAUUGUCUUUGCACAGAUCAUCUGUAGUAUUUUAUUAUUUUUUUUGAGACAGGGUCUUGCUCUGUCACCCAGGCUAGAGGGCGGUGGUGUGAUCUCGGCUCACUGCAACCUCCGCCUCCCGGGUUCAAGCGAUGCUCCUGCCUCAGCCUCCCGAGUAGCUGGGAUGACAGGCAUGUGCCACCACGCCCGGCUAAUUUUUGUGUUUUUAGUAGAGACGGGUUUCGCCAUGUUGGCCAGGCUGGUCUCGAACUCCUGACCUCAGGUGAUCCACCCGCCUCGGCCUCUCACAGUGCUGGGGCCUGGGUGGUUAUUGUUUGCCUUUAUCAUGCUACGACAGAUGUACAGGAACCCACGUUUGGCGCGUGCUGCUUGGUGAGCUUUGACGUCCAUCCGUAUCCACAGAGCCGUUACCACCAUCACCCUAACACGUGUCUGUCUCCCCCUGCGUCCCCCCCAGAACUGCAGGCACGCGGCAUUUUCUUGAAUUUCGUGGACCUACUUGCAAUUGGCCAGGGAAGCCAUUUGUGAGAGGUUUUUCACUAAAAUCCCGUGACCUUAUCAGAAACUGGCUGAAGUCAUCUCUCUUCGUUCUUGAGUUUUGGAGACAGGGUCUGGCUCUGUCACGCAGGCUGGAGUGCAGUGGCGCGAUCUGAGCUCGCUGCAGCCUCCACCUGCUGGGCCUAAGGAAUCCUCGCACCUCAGCCCCCCGAGUAGCCGGGAUUACAGGCACCCGCCACCACACCCAGCUAAUUUUUUGUGGAGACGGGGUUUCGCCACGUUGCCCAGAAACUUGCCCAUUCACAUCAGUGAGUUAUUGCUGGUAUUUCCUGCUUGUGACAUUAACGUCUGCAGAGUCCGCAGUGAUGGCGUCUCUCACGCUCCUGAUACCGACGUGUCUGUGUGUGGUCAGUGAGGCGAGGGGACGGUGAGGUUCCCUGAACUUCUCAAGGAACCACAACCACCACUGGUUUUUCUCCCCUUUGUUCUGCUGUUUCCCUUCUCUCGAGUAUCUUCAGGCAGCAACUUGGGCCACUGACACUGCAGCCCGGCCUUCUCGUUUUGCUGCAGCUCAAAAUACUUUCUGGUUACCAUUUGGUUCCCGACCCACAGGUUCCACGGAUGUGCAUUUUAACCCCUGCUCCCCCAUCAGCCGCCCCGUCCGAUUCCUGCCAAGCAGCACGGGGCCCCCGCGGCCCACCCUGGGCCGUCUGUCCUGUGUGUCCGUCCUCCUCGUGGUCAUCGUUUGCACAGUGGCUGCGACCUGGCAGCCAACCUGUGGGUCCCCACUCCCCACAGCUUCCCAGUCCGCCUUCUCCUGCCGGACACCCUGAGGCAACCGUGGCCCCCAGACAUAGUCUACUUGGGUGUGCGCCUGUCCCCACGACCGUCUGUCACCUCUGCCCCCACCUGACCAGUGUCCACCCCCACGGCCGCCCGGCUUUGUGUCUGCAGCACAGCCAGCACCACACAGGGGUCGACUGCCUUCCCCGUGUCCACGCCUGCUCCGGCAGGUGCCGCUCAGGUCCGUGGGGAACUCAGUGCCAGGCUGUUGGGGGGCAUCUUGGAAAGCAGAGGUGUCCCCACAGGAUCUCUGAGAGUCUGUGUGGUCGGUGGCCGCGCUGGUUUCCCCGGAGCAGCGCCCGAGGUCACUGCCGAGACCGUAACGGAAGUGGCGCGUCCGGUCCUCCCACAGCUGUGUGUUCUGGUCAGAACGGAAGUGGGGGCCUGCACAAGGAGCGUCUGUGGUUUGGGAGAAUUUGUCUAAACUGUGGUCCCCAUUUGUUCUCCAGUCCUGUGUGGACACCACGACCCACUUGUGUAAACACCGGCCCCGUGCAGCUCGGAGGCUGCCCUCCGAGAGUCACCGUCGUGUAACUUUGGGGAAAAGGUGCACCUGCCUGGUUCCUCUGUGGGUACCUCGUGCCUGGGGCUCCAUCCCGUCCUGGGUGGGUUUUCAGCUGCACCACAGGCCCCUCCCCGGGAGCAUUGGUGGAGCCGACUUUCUCAGCCAGGAGCACGUUGCUGGGUCAGCGGCUGGAGCUCAGGGGACUUCCUUGUGCUGGAGGCUGGCCGCUGAGCAGCCUGCAUCUCCCAGAAAAUGGCCCAGGGCCUGCUCUUCGCUGCUGGCCACGUCUUCACUGUCCUCUUGUUGCAGGUUCGAGGCCGAGCUCAGCCCCGUGGAGCAGAAGCUGAGUGUGCUGCGGUCCCCACUGGCCCAGAGGACCUUCUUCCAGGCGCCCUCGCCCCUGGGCGCCAUGGGCCUGUACGAGUAUGCGUGCGGGGACGAGGACCUGGAGCCACUGUGACACCACCUGUGAGAACGCUGCCACGGAGCCACGCCACACAUGCCACGGCCACCACCAGGACUCCUGUAAAAACUGUUGUCUUCUGUGGAAAAUGAGUGCGUUUGUAUGGAAUGAUAAAUUUUUAUUUAUUCACAGAAGCGUCUUGAUUACUGCUGUGGGUUCGCAGCUGGACCUGCCUACAGCUCCGUGCCCGGGGGACACGUAGGGCCGCUCGUGAGCGGGACGGGUUCCCACACGGACACCCUCCGGCACUUGCCGUUGCCGAGUUGACUUGGCCUCAGUUCCGGGGCCAGCGUCUCUCGGGAAAGGGUCCGUGUGGGCGCAACGGUGACCGGCGGCUCCCGGGCGCCUUGUCCGUCCUGGACGGGACCCUCUGCCACAGCCUGUGUGAAUGUUUUGUAUAAAUGUACAAAAGCGC